UUGGUCUAAAUUUUAUUGGCAUCCUGAAUUUUCGCAUUUUUGUAGAGUGAAUUAAGAAUCAAUGUUUGGAAUGUGAAAUUAUAAAUUAAAGGAAGCGAAAAAGUAAACAAAUUGUAAAACUGAUAAACAAAUUAGAUGCAAUGAUGCUACUGGGCGAAUGACUGGCAUUAAAAUAAAAUUGGCUUUAUGAGCCAUUCUUUGUGAUAAAUUUUAAGAAUACAUUUGUGUCUGGAAAGUUUGUGGCGAAAAAAAUUAUGUAGGUAUGUACUUGUGUUAAGAAAUAUGCACAGAAAAGUUUGAUCGCAAAACGUGCACUUGCCUUAGCUGGUGAUUGCGAAAAAGCAAAUUCUAAAUUUUUGCAAAUUAUCUGCAUAGUUUUGUGUAUAACAGCGAAAAGCCAAAAGCCGCAUUGCAAAGUGUUUGUGCAUUUUUUAGCGCCGCAGCGCAGCUGUAUAAAGUGCUAACGUGGAAAAAAGUACGCUUUGCUGCCUUGCCAAGUGCAAGCGAAACUGCGACGCGCUACAGCUGCUUUCGCUGUCGUCUGCUACGUUGGCGUUCCUUCGCGCUUUGUGUGUUUUUGCAAAUGCUAGACUGACUGCGCUGCUUUUUUUUGCCAAUGCAACUUUGCGAAAAUUCUUUGUGGCUGCAGAAAAAACGCUACGCUGGCAAUUUGUUGCAUAUUUACCUAUUCGUUUUGUUAUUAUUUAAUGCAAACAAUUAAUGGAAAAAAAUGUGUCGAUAUGUAACUUGUUGGGAAUUGUGUAAAAUAAAAAAGUUUUGUGUUUUUACAAUUAAAUGUGAUACAAAAAAUGAUAAAUGAGACACAAAAAAAUGAUGGAUUAGUGAGUGAUAAGAGCACAAAGUACAUAUGUAGCUAAAUGCGAUUUAAUUAAAGGAAGUUAAAAAAAGCGUGUGUGCGUGUAAAUUAAAUGCUUAUCUGCAUUACAUACAAAAAGAAAGGUGGAAAAUAUACACAAAUGUGCAAGAUAAGAUAAAAAGCAAGUGAAAAGUUGUGCGUAGAAAUAAAAAGCUACAGCGAAGCGGCGAGAAAUGCGAAAAACGCAGCAACCAAAAGAGCAACAAAAAAAAAGUGCGUUAAACAGUCUAAUCGGUAAAAAGGCGUAACUAAUAGCUUCCCGCUCCAACGACUGCUUCCAACUAAGAACGAUAUUUGAAGGUUAACAAAGAAGUCGAAGUUUUACGUUGAUGCCAAAAAUGUAGUUAGUGGUAAUAUACGGCUGCCAAGAAAUUUCAAAAAACAAUAAAAGAAAAAAGUAAAAAAUUUCACAAAAAUUUGUUUA